GUGCUCACUUCGGCAGCACAUAUGCUAAAAUCGGAAGGAUACAGAGAAGAAGAUCCACUGGCCACUGUGCAACGGUGACACAUAAAUUUGUGAAGCGCUCCAUAUUAAA
rnacentral:snRNA from 1 species